rnacentral:misc_RNA from 1 species
GUUUCUCUCAGAAACUUUCCUUUCUUCAUUCUUCCCUAUAUACGAGAAUUUUGAUGGCGAGUUUUUCCUUCAAUUCAUCCAAGUCUUGCUCGAUUCUCGGUUCAAUUCUAUUAGAUUCUGUUCAUCUUUUUUCUCCGAAGCUUUUUCGUUCUCAGAUUUUUACGCACCCUUGUAGUUCUAAUUGACGUCUAUUCAAGGGAGGAGCCACCGUGAUCUGUACAAAUGGGAAGACGUAAAACUCAGCGAAAAAAUUCUCCAACGGUGGAUAGUGAUGAUGAUAGUAGUGUGAGUUCUUCAUCGACUAUGCGGUCGGAUCGUAUGUCUGUUGUAGGGAUUGAGGAUUUUCAAUUUGACAAAGAUACUUUACUUGAUCAAGCUCUUGAUGCUUUAUAUGAGAA